rnacentral:rRNA from 1 species
UACGUAGGGGGCAAGCGUUGUCCGGAUUUAUUGGGCGUAAAGAGCGUGUAGGCGGCUAGGUAGGUCCGUUGUGAAAACUCGAGGCUCAACCUCGAGCUGUCGAUGGAAACCAUCUGGCUAGAGUCCGGAAGAGGAGAGUGGAAUUCCUGGUGUAGCGGUGAAAUGCGUAGAGAUCAGGAAGAACAUCGGUGGCGAAGGCGCUCUGCUGGACCAUAACUGACACUCAGGGACGAAAGCUAGGGGAGCGAAUGGG